ACUGAUUCAUUACUUGAAGUAGGGUGUAUAAAACUGCAGACAAAUUUUAUCUUUAGUACUUUUUUGGCUGCUUUUUAGCUCAUACAAGUGUUUUCAGAAGUACAGAAUCAUUCAUACAACAUGAAGCCUGUGAUCUUAUUGUUUUUAUUUGCUGCAACAACUGCUGCUUUUCCAGCCCUGUCAAGAAAACAUUAUUCCAAGUUGUCUUCAUCUUUAUCUUCUUCAUCAUCAUCAUCUGAAGAAGAAGAAAGGCCAAAGAGCACCUCGACACCUCUGCCAAGCACAACUAAAACCGUUAUUACAACAAGGCCUACCAUAGCUACGCCUUCUACACCUCUCAGUAACUGCACCAUUAUUACAAUUCCUUUUGAUACCACACCUUCAGGCUCAGGCAGUACUAUGUCUACAGUUAGGAGAGGUGAUAACAACAUUAAAGCGUAAAUAGCAAAACCAGUGUUUUAAGUAUUAAAUGUACAAUACCUGAUAAUAUGAGUGAGCUGGAUUAUCCAAUACACCUGGUAAUCAGAUCAAAAUGGGUGUUGACAGAGGAGUGCCAAUAAAUAUGUUUCCACAGUAAUUUAGAAUCUGUAUUUUUCCAUGUAUUAUGUUUUAGGCCUAUUGUCUUUGUUUUGGAUAUACACUGCUGAAAAACCAUCCAUGCACUCAUAUGUACUUUAAUAAAGAUAAAAAUGUGUAAACCAUA